rnacentral:rRNA from 1 species
UACGGAGGGUGCAAACGUUGUCCGGAAUCACUGGCGUAAAGCGCAUGUAGGUGGCUUGAUCAGUGGACGAUUAAAUACCGAUGCUUAACAUCGGAACUGUUGUCCAUACUGUCUGGCUUGAGAAUGACAGGGGUAAGCGGAACUUUAGGUGUAGGAGUGAAAUCCGUAGAUAUCUAAAGGAACACCAAUGGCGAAAGCGGCUCACUGGGUCUCUUCUGACGCUGAGGCACGAAAGCUAGGGUAGCGAACGGG